UGAGCCAAGUUUAGGGUUUUCUCAAAACCCAAGCAGUAUUGAACUGAAGAGUUUGAUCAUGGCUCAGAUUGAACGCUGGCGGCAGGCCUAACACAUGCAAGUCGAGCGGAUGAAGGGAGCUUGCUCCUGGAUUCAGCGGCGGACGGGUGAGUAAUGCCUAGGAAUCUGCCUGGUAGUGGGGGAUAACGUCCGGAAACGGGCGCUAA
rnacentral:rRNA from 1 species